UCGCGGGCUCAGUUGGCAGAGUGCCUGCCUGGCAUGCACAAGGCCCUGGGUUCAAUCCCCAGCAUCACCAA
rnacentral:tRNA from 1 species